AAAAAGAAAAGAAAAAAAUCAUAAAGCAGACUGACACGAGAAGAAACCUUUAUUCUCAGCCAACAUGUAAGCUAAACACGGUUAGAUGCCUGAACAUUCAUUUGCAAGCAGAAUUCACGAUACAGGAUCAAUUACACGAUAAAUAAUUAGCUUAGAAAGUGCAAACAUUGAUGGCGUUUAGCUCGUCGGUGGAAAAUAAACAACAUGGCGAGUCGGAGGGCGUGGCUCAGUCAAGCUUUUGAAGCUGCAAAAUGUAAGACAAAUAAUCUGUGAAAAAAAAAAAUCCAGCUCCUUUGCCUCGUCCCAGAACUAACACCACCCAGUCAGAAACAACCAAUCAGAGACAGGAGGAGGGUCUUAGCGCUGUCAAUCACUUUAGAUACAGCAGGCUCACCACAACAUUUAGCAUAGCUACCGAUGACUGUGGAGAAAUUGUUUUUCUGUAACGGUAAGUUGUUUAUCCACCAUGAGCAUAUUGAGCAGCAAGUACAUGAGAUUGAUUGACAGCGCUAAGAUCCUCCUCCUGGCUGUGGUUUUUUGUUUUUGAUCAGGGGCAGAGUAUUGUUGCAGACCGCAAUAGUAGAUCACUGAGGAAGAGGAGGAGCUAAAUUUUUUCACAGAUUAUCCCUCGCAUACAAAACUGUCACAAUAUGGUGACAGUUUUAAUAAAUAUGGGGAAAAAAAACAACAUAUUUUUGCAAAAGUGAAACGCUCCAGGUUUAAGAAGACAGAAGAAUCCAGUUUCAGUCACAGUAAAAUGGGCUUCGCUCAGCAGGACUGACAGUGUUCAGACUGUUCCCUCAGCCCAGUGCAGAAGUUUUGCAGAUACUUUUAUUUUUUUUACUUCUGUGAUAAGCUUUGAUACAAUCAGCUGGGGAAAAUAUGAAUUUGCAGUCAGCAAAGCUUCGACUUGUACCGGUCCACUUCUAUUCAUUUUCCAUUCAGCUUCUUGUGAAAAUGUUCAAAUUCACAGAAAAAGCCAGAAGUG